rnacentral:miRNA from 1 species
AAAUGUAGUAGACUAUAAGUAUAC